GAUGAACGCUAGCGGCAGGCUUAAUACAUGCAAGUCGUGGGGCAGCAUGAGUAGCAAUACUUGAUGGCGACCGGCAAACGGGUGAGGAACACGUACACAACCUUCCUUCAAGCGGGGAAUAGCCCAGAGAAAUUUGGAUUAAAUACCCCAUAAAUAUAUUUGAAUAAGGCAAUCUUAUUAAUAUUAAAGCUUCGGCACUUGAUGAUGGGUGUGCGGCUGAUUAGAUAGUUGGCGGGGUAACGGCCCACCAAGUCUACGAUCAGUAGCUGAUGUGAGAGCAUGAUCAGCCACACGGGCACUGAGACACGGGCCCGACUCCUACGGGAGGCAGCAGUAAGGAAUAUUGGACAAUGGACGAAAGUCUGAUCCAGCCAUGCCGCGUGAAGGAUUAAAGGUCCUCUGGAUUG
rnacentral:rRNA from 1 species